rnacentral:lncRNA from 1 species
AAAGGAGGGGUGGGGUAAGAAGGAGGGCGGGACGCUGAGAAAUUAUUUAAAAAAAAAGACAGGAGAUGGGUGGGGUUACACUGUGUGUGUGAGAGAGAGAGAGAGAGAGAGAGGUGACAGGGCUUGGAAUCUCCUUCCUGCUGAGGUUGUUGGAAGGGGUAAUGAGGCAUGUGGGGCGGCGAAAAUGGGAGUUGCCGCAAAGAGUACAAUUCUAGCCGAUGGGCAGACGCCCAGCUCCCCGUAAU